CUACGGGCCGCUGCAGUGAGGAAUAUUGCACAAUGGGGGGAACCCUGAUGCAGCAACGCCGCGUGGAGGAUGACGCAUUUCGGUGUGUAAACUCCUUUUAUAUGUCAAGAAAAUGACGGUAGCAUAUGAAUAAGCACCGGCUAACUCCGUGCCAGCAGCCGCGGUAAUACGGAGGGUGCAAGCGUUACUCGGAAUCACUGGGCGUAAAGGACGCGUAGGCGGGUUGGAAAGUAGGUGUGAAAUCCUACAGCUUAACUGUAGAACUGCACUUGAAACUUCUAAUCUAGAGUAUGGGAGGGGGAGAUGGAAUUAGUGGUGUAGGGGUAAAAUCCGUAGAUAUCACUAGGAAUACCUAAAGCGAAGGCGAUCUCCUGGAACAUUACUGACGCUAAGGCGUGAAGGCGUGGGGAGCAAACAGGAUUAGAUACCCCCGUAGUC
rnacentral:rRNA from 1 species